CGAGACCCCAGGCCAGU
rnacentral:rRNA from 1 species